CCUACGGGAGGCUGCAGUGAGGAAUAUUGGUCAAUGGACGAGAGUCUGAACCAGCCAAGUCGCGUGAAGGAUGACUGCCCUAUGGGUUGUAAACUUCUUUUAUAUGGGAAUAAAAUGUUCCACGUGUGGCAUUUUGUAUGUACCAUAUGAAUAAGGAUCGGCUAACUCCGUGCCAGCAGCCGCGGUAAUACGGAGGAUCCGAGCGUUAUCCGGAUUUAUUGGGUUUAAAGGGAGCGUAGGUGGAUUGUUAAGUCAGUUGUGAAAGUUUGCGGCUCAACCGUAAAAUUGCAGUUGAAACUGGCAGUCUUGAGUACAGUAGAGGUGGGCGGAAUUCGUGGUGUAGCGGUGAAAUGCUUAGAUAUCACGAAGAACUCCGAUUGCGAAGGCAGCUCACUGGACUGCAACUGACACUGAGGCUCGAAAGUGUGGGUAUCAAACAGGAUUAGAUACCCCUGUAGUC
rnacentral:rRNA from 1 species